rnacentral:rRNA from 1 species
CCUACGGGGUGCAGCAGUGAGGAAUAUUGGUCAAUGGACGAGAGUCUGAACCAGCCAAGUAGCGUGAAGGAUGACUGCCCUAUGGGUUGUAAACUUCUUUUAUAUGGGAAUAAAAUGUUCCACGUGUGGGAUUUUGUAUGUACCAUAUGAAUAAGGAUCGGCUAACUCCGUGCCAGCAGCCGCGGUAAUACGGAGGAUCCGAGCGUUAUCCGGAUUUAUUGGGUUUAAAGGGAGCGUCGGUGGAUUGUUAAGUCAGUUGUGAAAGUUUGCGGCUCAACCGUAAAAUUGCAGUUGAAACUGGCAGUCUUGAGUACAGUAGAGGUGGGCGGAAUUCGUGGUGUAGCGGUGAAAUGCUUAGAUAUCACGAAGAACUCCGAUUGCGAAGGCAGUUCACUGGACUGCAACUGACACUGAGGCUCGAAAGUGUGGGUAUCAAACAGGAUUAGAUACCCUUGUAGUC